UGGGUGAUACAGAGAGACCCUAUCUCUAAAUACAUAAAUAAAUGAUACUUUAAACAAUUUUCUAAACUUGUACUGUGGCAGCUGAGAUGCUUCAGCUUUGUUGUUAAGGGUGACGGUCAAUCUCUUUGCAGCGCAUGGAUUUUUGGAGGCAACUUUUACAUAGCAACCUUGCAUCAAAGCAUAUGUGAGUGUAGCUACACAAUAAAGUCCAAAGCUUCAAGGCGUGCCCCAACCUGACCCCAGCUUUUCUUCCCAAAAGGUUCAUUUCUUGCCACACCAGAUGAUUUGGUGUUCGUCUAACACACUGUGCCUUUUGUCCGUGUGGGUUCCUUCUGCUGCAAAGUUCUUCUCAUUUUCAUCCAUUCUAUCAAACUCCCACUCAUCCUUCAGAGCCCCUGCUUUUUAUUCCCAGAUGGAGCCAUUCAGAGUCAAUGAUGUUCCUACAGCAUGUGAGUGCAUCUCUUUGACAGCUUAGUGGCACUGUUAAGAACAUUCCCAGAGUUGAACGGAUGCUUGACCUUUUCUCCAACUGGUGUCCCUCAAGGUAUCGACAGUCAAGCACUUCUGUGGGUGCCUAAACAGGGAAAGGCCCUAUUCUACGUGCUUGGCACCUUUAACAUUGAGACCAAGUGGCAGAGAGCCCCAAAGGGGGCCAGCUGUGCAGGGACAGAACAUCCCACUGUUUUGCUUGCAGUAGGUCCUUCACUUUUAGCUUCUUAGGGCACUGCGAAUUCUUCCUUCCGACCAUCCCCUGGCAGAGCCCCAUGAUCUGGUCCUGCCACCUCGCUAACCUCAUCUCCCCUCAUUUGCUCACUGUCGCCAGCUCCCCCUCCUUCCUUCUGUUCCCUGAAGUCACAAAGCUCCUUCUUGCCUUGGCAACUGCAUGGGCUGUGCGUUCUCCCUGUCCUUGGAUGAUCACUUGCCCCAGAGAUGCCUCUCUGAAGGCUAUGCCUAAAUCGACACCCUCACACACACCCCACCCCACUCCCCAGUCCCUCUGCAGCCUAACACUUUCUUCCAUUUCCUCUGCACCGAUCGGUAUCAGUAAGGAGUGUGUUCGUGUAUUUGUCUUCUCAUUUCCAGUCUGACUCCCCAUUAGAUUACAAACUUCAUGAGAGCAAAGAGCUUGCCGUCUUACUCACCUCUGUAUCCCCAAUACCCGGAACAGUGCCUGGCAGAGACAGGGCAUUCCUAAACAUUUGUCUCGUGAAUCAACGAAACUCAUUCCGUCACAGAACAAGGUUUGCUCUCCUAAGCCCCUAGAAUAGCGUUCCAUAUUCUGAAAAAUGGCCUGGUUCUGCUGAAGGAAGCCCAGGAAGCACAUAGAACGGGGCACACUUUGGAAUUCGGGGAGACACCUCCGGGGAACACUGAUGAUGACCGGAUGUCAGCUGCAAUUCCUGAGAAUCCGUUAGGGCAUCUGACACAGACACCACUGGACUCAGGAGGAGAGAGGCAUCUGCCCAGUUUUUGGUAAGGAAGAAAGCAAAGUGGCAUCUGCUGAGGUUUACUGUCCCAGGCACGUUGCCCUGGGUGCUCACCCUGUCCUCAAAAGCCCCUAAGGUAGGGACAAUGAUGAUCCCCUUUUGUCUCUGGAGGAACUGAGGUACAGAGAGGUGAAAAGCUUUGCCCAAGGACACAGCUAGUGAGUGACACGGUUCAGGCUGACCCCCUGACAAGCCUGUCUCACACGGGCAGAGCAAACACAUUCAGGGGGCAGGGAGGAGAUGGGGUUUUACGUGUCAGCUCAGCCCCUAACUUGCUCUUCGACCUGAGAGACCCCUCCUAGGCACCCAGUGCUCCCCUCUGCAGAUGGGAGUUGGUUCUUCCAACCGUGUUCUAUGGAUCUGUGAGUCACCAAGUUCUAGGGCUUUCCCACUCAAGCAGCCUCUCUCAGCCCCUUUUCCAGGCCUUUCUUUGGUGGUUGGGGUACAGAUUGGGCAGCCGAGGAGAGGCAGUUCCUGCCGGUGCCACGUGUGCCCGGCACAGCUGCCAGGAAGUCCUAUUAGUCAGCACCAACAGCUGCUGCCACAAACACGCGGCACAAACGGAGGAGACGCGCCCAAGACUCUGCUGAACCUUGGGGGUGGUUGGAGAACGAGAAGAGCCAAGGAAAAGCAGGAGUCCAGACCUUCCAGAGGGCUCCACACAUGGCCCCCCACUCCCUUUACCCAAGGCCGAAGCCACAAAGUCACCUGAAGCCAAAAGGCCCCACUCAGCCCCAGCCAGCCGGCUUGGCUGGAUUUUGUUGUCCUAAGUGGGCCUUCAGCUGCAGACAGGCACAGACAUCAGCCAGGCAGACAGGCCGCAAACGGUAGCUGUCCCCAGAGCCCUGAAGCCCCCAGCCAUCAGGUUUCCUGUUUCCUCAGAGCAGGGAAGGUGCUGGCAGGUGGGAAGUAACCCCUAACCCCUUCAAGGUGGGUUUGUAAGUAUAGGGUCUCUCCCAUUAGCGCUUUUCUUCAUCCCUUCAAACUUUAAUAAGGAUGAUUUUUGUAAGCAUUCUCAGGCUCUCCUGUUUCAAGGAGCAUUAAAUUUCCAGCACUGUCUGCCAGAGGUAUCCCAGGCCCCCAGCGUGCCGGCAGGAGAUGCCAUUCUACACACCUGUCAGGAAGAAAGGAAGAGUAAGAUGGCCCCAGGCCAGCACCGCCUCCCUCGCUCCCACCCCUCUGUUCUCUGGGCAUUCCAGGGUCUCGUCAGCAACCCCUCUUGAUUUUCAUCCAGUCUCAUCUUGGGCAACAGAACCUGGGGUUGUGGGUUUUUUCCCAGAAGAAGAAACACACGAGGAGAGGCCAGUGGAGAACAAAACACCCAUUUCUUCCGGGAGAAGGGGAGGGGAGAUGGCUAACUGCUGGUCAGGCUGUACAAAACCCUAUAGAAUCCCACAAACCUCGUGCUGUUUAAGAAAAAUAAACGCCCACACAAAAA
rnacentral:lncRNA from 1 species